AUUGAACGCUGGCGGCAGGCCUAACACAUGCAAGUCGAACGGUAACAGGAAGAAGCUUGCUUCUUUGCUGACGAGUGGCGGACGGGUGAGUAAUGUCUGGGAAACUGCCUGAUGGAGGGGGAUAACUACUGGAAACGGUAGCUAAUACCGCAUAACGUCGCAAGACCAAAGAGGGGGACCUUCUGGCCUCUUGCCAUCGGAUGUGCCCAGGUGGGGUUGGCUAGUAGGUGGGGUAACGGCUCACCUAGGCGACCAUCCGUAGCUGGUCUGAGAGUAUGGGCAGCCGCCCUGGAAGGUGAACAGGGACCAGACGCCUACGGGAGGCAGCAGUGGGGAAUAGUGCGCAAUGGGCGCAAGCCUGAUGCAGCGAUGCGGAGUGUAUGAAGACGGCCUUGGGGUCGUAAAGUAGUUUCAGCGGGUAGGAAGCGAGUAAAGCUGAGACCUUUGCUGAUUGACGGUACCCGGAGAAGAAGCACCGGCUAACUACGUG
rnacentral:rRNA from 1 species